CCUACGGGAGGCAGCAGUGAGGAAUAUUGGGCAAUGGACGAGAGUCUGAACCAGCCAAGUAGCGUGAAGGAUGACUGCCCUAUGGGUUGUAAACUUCUUUUAUAAAGGAAUAAAACGAGGCACGGGUGCCUUUUUGAAUGUACGUGAUGAAUAAGGAUCGGCUAACUCCGUGCCAGCAGCCGCGGUAAUACGGAGGAUCCGAGCGUUAUCCGUAUUUAUUGGGUUGAAAGGGAGCGUAGAUGGGUUGUUAAGUCAGUUGUGAAAGUUUGCGGCUCAACCGUAAAAUGGCAAUUGAUACUGGCAGUCUUGAGUACAGUUGAGGUAGGCGGAAUUCGUGGUGUAGCGGUGAAAUGCUUAGAUAUCACGAAGAACCCCGAUUGCGAAGGCAGCUUACUAAACUGUGACUGACAUUGAUGCUCGAAAGUGUGGGUAUCAAACAGGAUUAGAUACCCGGGUAGUC
rnacentral:rRNA from 1 species